rnacentral:tRNA from 1 species
GCCCUCGUAGCUCAGGGGAUAGAGCGUUGGUUUCCGGUACCAAAGGUCAGAGGUUCGAUUCCUCUCGGGGGCACGA